CCUACGGGCGACAGCAGUGGGGGAUAUUGCACAAUGGGGGGAACCCUGAUGCAGCGACGCCGCGUGGGUGAAGGAGCGUUUCGGCGCGUAAAGCCCUAUCGGCAGGGAAAAAGAUGACAGUACCUGACCAAGAAGCCCCGGCUAACUACGUGCCAGCAGCCGCGGUAAUACGUAGGGAGCAAGCGUUAUCCGGAGUUACUGGGUGUAAAGGGGGCGCAGACGGCAAUGCAAGCCAGUAGUGAAAGCCCGGGGCUCAACCCCGGGACUGCUGUUGGAACUGCAUGGCUGGAGUACAGGAGGGGCAGGCGGAAUUCGUAGUGUAGCGGUGAAAUGCGUAGAUAUCAGGAGGAACACCGAUUGCGAAGGCGGCCUGCUGGACUGUGACUGACGCUGAGGCCCGAAGGCGUGGGGAGCAAACAGGAUUAGAUACCCGAGUAGUC
rnacentral:rRNA from 1 species